UACGAAGGGGGCGAGCGUUGUUCGGAUUUACUGGGCGUAAAGGGCGCGCAGGCGGCGCAUUUUGUCAGGCGUGAAAGCCCCGGGCUUAACCUGGGAACUGCGUUUGAUACGGAUGGGCUAGAGUUCGGGAGAGGAGAGUGGAAUUCCCAGUGUAGAGGUGAAAUUCGUAGAUAUUGGGAGGAACACCAGUGGCGAAGGCGGCUCACUGGACCGGAACUGACGCUGAUGCGCGAAAGCGUGGGGAGCAAACGGG
rnacentral:rRNA from 1 species